AUCCAUAACGCUUGCAAGGGAUUUCAUCUGAUUAAUGUGGAACAAGGAAGGAAUUGCACGAUUGUAUUUUUGGCAGUUCGGAAGAGACAGGAAGUGGAAGUUCAAAGGUGAGCAAUGUUGCAGAGAUGAAAGAAAGAAGACUUGAUCAAAGCCCAGAUGGAAUAUUUAAAUAAUAGUUGUGGGUUGACCAAAACCUCAAGAUUCCACACUGGCUCCAUGAGUUUGAGAGAGCAACCAGAGAGGUCGAUACGAACAGCGCUU